AUGGGUAUAGCCAAGCGGUAAGCAAGGGACUUUGACUCCCUCAUGCGUUGGUUCGAAUCCAGCUACCCCGU
rnacentral:tRNA from 1 species